UCAUCAUUUUUAUUUGGACAGCAAGCUGGCAGGAUCAUUAUCACACUGGGAAAAGUGCUUAGAAGCAUUUCCUCUUGCUUUAUGCUCUGAGUUCAAAUUCCAUCAAGGCUAACUUUGCAUUUCAUCAUUUUAGGGUUGAUAAAAU